rnacentral:misc_RNA from 1 species
AAGUCGUAACAAGGUUUCCAUAGGUGAACCUGCGGAAGGAUCACUCAUAAUAAAAGUGUUUUAUGACACUUUUAAAACAAUCCAUAUCCACCUUGUGUGCAAUGUUUUUUAUAAAUUUUCAACUCUAUUUUAAUUUAUUUUGUCUGAAAUAUAUUAUGAAUACUUAAUUCAAAAAUAUAACUUUCAACAACGGAUCUCUUGGCUCUC